ACGAAACCAAGAUAGCAAAGGCCAAAACGCCAAGCUUGAUGCUUCACAACCUGAGAUGCCAAAGCAAAGGGAGACGUCACGGAGACUACGCCCACUUUUUCUUCAUGCGUGCGCUAAGCUACAGAGUAUUCCCACCAUGCUUAAACCUUUAACAUUUCAAAAUGGAUGCAGAUAGGCUUUUCUCAUACUGUUAGACAAGAACAGAAUAACCAAGGCAAGCGUCUCACCUUUGGUUUUGACACCGUUUCCUCAGGGGGUAUCAUCUUCAAGUGAAUACCACAGUUUAAAGAAAAUUGAGAUAAUAUCUUUCAAAAUGACAUUUGCAACAGCAAGACACCAAGGAUUUAGUGACUUUUUUUUUUUUUUUUUGUGAAAAGCAAAAAGGGGAAUGAGGCGAGAGGCUUAGAGAAAAUAAAGCAGUGAAAUCGAAUCGGAAACAUAAGAGGGAUUCUUGUAAUGAGCAGUGUGGAUGUAACACUUUGGAUGGAGGGCUGUCCAAUUUCCACUGGACAACUACUAAUAUGCUUGAUUAGAUAAGGGCGCGUUCAGUGCUGUGCAUGCUCCCCGGCUGCAGGUCUCUGCCGCCUCUGUAACAUCAAACUGUUACCGAUUGUCAUUCAGCAGACAGGUACUGAGCCACUCCCACAGCAGCGCUGACCCGUCCCUUCAUACCUUGCACCGCUGAGCGAACAUCUUCCUCUGAACAACAGGGAAUCAAAGCCGCUUUCGAAAACACAAGGACAUGCGUUAUUUUUGGAGUGCGAUGCAUAUCUCAAAUCCGACUACCGUCUGACGUGAUGUGCCAUUUCAAUUCCGCCAAGAAUAAACCCGCUUCUACAACCCAGAGCCCGUGAGGAACACUACAUCCACGGCUCCUCAGCAGAACUGCAUGUGGAGCCGUGGAUGACUCGGCUGAGAACAACAGCAACGCGACGAGAACUCUGAACUGAACUGCAUGUAGUUUACAUGGAGCAGAGACGAUAUGACACGAUUGGUUGUAAAAAUUGUAAUAGUUUCAAUUAUAGUGCACAUUAAAAGCAGUGUACUGUAUUCUCUAA